rnacentral:rRNA from 1 species
GACGAACGCUGGCGGCGUGCUUAACACAUGCAAGUCGAACGGAAAGGCCCUGCUUUUGUGGGGUGCUCGAGUGGCGAACGGGUGAGUAACACGUGAGUAACCUGCCCUUGACUUUGGGAUAACUUCAGGAAACUGGGGCUAAUACCGGAUAGGAGCUCCUGCUGCAUGGUGGGGGAUGGAAAGUUUCGGCGGUUGGGGAUGGACUCGCGGCUUAUCAGCUUGUUGGUGGGGUAGUGGCUUACCAAGGCUUUGACGGGUAGCCGGCCUGAGAGGGUGAACGGCCACAAGGGGACUGAGAGACGGCCCAGACUCCAACGGGAGGCAGCAGGGGGGAAUAUUGCACAAUGGGCGGGAGUCUGAGGUAGCAACGCCGCGUGCGGGAUGACGGCCUUCGGGGUGUAAACCGCUUUGGACGGUGACGAAGCGGGAGUGACGGUAAUGGGUAAAGAAGCACCGGCUAACUACGUG